rnacentral:rRNA from 1 species
AUGAACGCUAGCGGCAGGCUUAAUACAUGCAAGUUGAGGGGCAGCAUGAUAUACGCGAGUAUAUUGAUGGCGACCGGCGGACGGGUGAGUAAUAGGUAGGAGACCUACCUCAUACAGGGGGAUAGCAUAGAGAAAUCUGUGGUAAUACCCCCAUGAGGUUAUAUGAAUAGAGGCAUAUAAUCAAAGCAUAAGCGAUUAUGCGGUAUGAGAGGGGCCUACUGACCAUUAGCUAGUUGGUGAGGUAAGGGCUCACCAAGGCGAAGAUGGUUAGGGGUUUUGAGAGAGAGACCCCCCACAUUGGAACUGAGAGACGGUCCAGACUCCUACGGGAGGCAGCAGUGGGGAAUUUUGGACAAUGGGGGCAACCCUGAUCCAGCCAUGCCGCGUGAGUGAAGAAGGCCUUCGGGUUGUAAAGCUCUUUCGGCCGGGAAGAAAUCGUCCUCGCUAAUACCGAGGGCGGAUGACGGUACCGGAAGAAUAAGCACCGGCUAACUACGUG